AGGAUGUUGUGGUAGUGGACGCCGAGGAUCCACGCGUCGUCGCCGGAGAAGAUGGGGAGGCUGGGCUGGCGGGCGUGGUGGGCCAGGAGGAAGUCGCGGGCGGAGGUGGCGGCGCGCCAGGCGCGGCGGACGGCGCGGCAGCGGAGGAGGUAUUUGGGGGGCAGGCGGAUGAGGAUCUCCCAGAGGACGAUCUCAUCGGGGAGGCCGCGGAGGAGAGACGCCGGUUCUGCUGUUACCCCCUCCGCCAUGGUCGCCGGCUGGCAGCUCGUCCUGGUUCUCGAUCCGUCCCAGGAAUGCCGGAGUUGUGCUGGCGGCGGCGGCGGAGGCCGGAGGCCGGAGGGUAGUUUGGUUCGUUUGCUGCGCCGGAAUGGAACGGAAUGGUGGCUCUCAAA